rnacentral:lncRNA from 1 species
GUGACUACUUUUCUCUCCACAAUCACCUUUUUUCUUAGGCCACAUCUCUCGAAAUUUAUGGAAGGCCACCUGGCUCACAAAUAAAUCCUGCCAUACCUCAGCCUUUCUCGUUCUUUCAAUGCCACCAACACCCGGUACCCUACUUUUCGAGACCUCGUCAUCACUGUUGUCCUUAUCUGCUACACCCUCCCCGAAUUCUGAAGUUGUGGGGGAGGUGGAUUAUUUGGCAUUGCCCGCUUCUGAGCCAUCAGACAACUCAGGUUGUGUAGUAGUUGGAGCUCGGGCUGGGACUGGGGGUUUUGCCCCAAAUCUGCAGAGAGGUCCUAAGAGGGGAGGUACUCACUCCCCGACUACUCCUUAUCGCUCACUACUUGCUUUCUUGUCUUUAGUUUUGGUUGGGGAGUGAGUUUCUUCAAUUUACCUUUACCUCCCCAUGAGGGUUCACCUCGUCCGAGUUUUUUAGAACCACGACCUCUUUGCUUUACCAUUGUCUACAAGCAAAGACAUCUAGCUUUGUUAGUUCUGGCAAUUUCAGAACAAUUUUAG